UGGGGAAUAUUGCACAAUGGGGGAAACCCUGAUGCAGCCAUGCCGCGUGUGUGAAGAAGGCCUUCGGGUUGUAAAGCACUUUCAGUGGGGAGGAAGGGAUGAUGUCUAAUACGCAUUGUCAUUGACGUUACCCACAGAAGAAGCACCGGCUAACUCCGUGCCAGCAGCCGCGGUAAUACGGAGGGUGUAAGCGUUAAUCGGACUAACUGGGCGUAAAGCGCACGCAGGCGGUUAGAUAAGUCAGAUGUGAAAUCCCCGGGCUCAACCUGGGAACUGCAUUUGAAACUGUCUGACUAGAGUCUUGUAGAGGGGGGUAGAAUUCCAGGUGUAGCGGUGAAAUGCGUAGAGAUCUGGAGGAAUACCGGUGGCGAAGGCGGCCCCCUGGACAAAGACUGACGCUCAGGUGCGAAAGCGUGGGGAGCAAACA
rnacentral:rRNA from 1 species